UUGUCUCUCAUCCCGCGUGCGUACCCUUCGUUUCUCCCUCUCCUUGUUUCUCUCCUCCUUGUUUGCUCAUGACUCAGAAAAGUAAAGCAUGGAGAUGAUAAAAAAAUUGUUUUCUUUUGAGCCUUUGGGUGUCAAGUGAUUGGGUUGAUUGGUGGAGGUGGGUUUUGAUGAAUUGGGGAUCGGAGAUCAUAGAUUGCCAUGAUUUGCAGACACAUCUGUAUUGCAGUAGAUUUAGAACGGGGAGUCCAGAGAGUAUGUUUAAGAUUUUGUCUGUAACUGUAAGGCUAUGCGAUUCAGCCGUUUGUGAGGGUUUUGUUUCGGUUUCCAUGACUGAUUUCUUCAAUUCUAAAAUAUUGGGAAUGAUUCCAAGCAUCAUUCCAAGUUACAAAAUCUAUUGUUCAUUUGAUUCUGUUUGAGCCAUUUUCUUUUCAAGAAAAAGCAUGUGUGAAGAAAGUAGACCGUCUCCUCUUAGCAACUCAUUCUUGACAUAAAGUUUUGUUCAUGUAAUUUAAAUAUAUAUAUGUAUAUAUAUCUUGUUCAUGAAAAGAGAUAAUUGAAGAAGAGGAAAGACUGAGAGGAGUGAGAGAAAAUAAAUUUUAUCUCACAGAAGUGUCGGACCGUAUGUCCGAGCCUCGGUCACGCGUGUCCAAUAAAAAAUAAUAUUUGGACACUUUACAGAAGUGUCGGAUAUAGGUGUCAGUGUUCGAAAAGUAUCCGAUACGGAGUACGGGGCCUUUAAGAGGAGUGUCCGUAUUUCAUAGGUGAGGGAAAGACGAAAACUUUGCAAAAAGAAAAGCAGUGGGGUGGGGCUUUUAUUUAUUAAAAUAUAUAUUUUUUUAAAUGAAAAAUGUUCUGAUGGAGUGAUAGUCCAUUAUUGUUGAGUCAUUUGUGAUUAGAUACUGAAUAGCCCAUUAUUGUUGAUCUCAAACAAAAAUGUUACAGUUACAAAGAAAUGAGAAAGAGAGACAGAAAUUGUAACGUGAACUGUGAUAAGAAUUCAGGAAAGUAAUAUAAAAUUUUAGUACCAGGAGAUCAACAACAAUAUGAACAGAACCACUGCCAAAUGAAAACAUAGCGGAAGGGAACAAAGGAGAAAGAACCGAAAAAGGGGAAAAGAAAAGGGAGAAGAAAUGAUGGAAGAAGGAAUGAUUGUGUUUGAUUUGCUGUAUUCGAAGUGGGUUUUGAUCGUGUUUGAUUGUGAGGACAACCCAGAAGCUAGCAAGCAACCAUGGAUUUCAUCGGUCCGUUGCAGAGACAGUUUGUUGAUUACUCAGACGUCUCUGUAUCGUGAGGACAGUAUUGUCCACAAAGAUUUCAAUGAUCUUCAUAUGCGUUUGUUUGUUUUGGGUUCUCUUACUGAUUUUCUGUGCUUUGAUUUUUCUUUGUUUGAGGCUUUCUGGUGAUUAGUUUUUGUUGGUUGUCUGAAGUGUUUUUUGGACAAUCAAUUUUUGCAACUCCAGAAACUGCACGAUGAGAGCAACCCGGAUUUUGUUGUGGAAGUGGUGUCUCUCUUCUUUGAAGAUUCUGAGAAGCUUCUCAACAAUUUGGCCAAUGCUCUGGUUACUGGGUUGUUCCUCAAUUGUACGGACAACAGAUUGUAGAUUAUAAACAGGUUGAUACUGAGGGCAGAAUUGCAGUCGCCAUAGAAGAAGGUGCGCGUGAAAGACGCGUUACAAGGGUGUGAGAUUGCUGAGUAUUACAAGGGUUGGCAUUUUGGUGCACAAAAUCUUCAAUUACAGUAUAUAUAUGCAUUCACAUCUCCAUUCAGUGUAAAGGUGUGUUUGAGACUUUGCAAGCCAAACAUGUGUUAUAUAGUUUUUGUUAUAGUUACGAGAGAUUAUAUUAUAUUUAAUAUAUAUGUAUUAUUGCCUUAAGUGACCAUUUUUUUUUUAAAAUUAUUGUGCAUAAAUAUAACAACUAAAAAAGUUUCGUUAGUUAAUCAUAAGCGAAACUGAAUUAUAUGCAAUUUUUUUUAUGUUAAUCACGUGCAAUGCACGUGACAAGAUGCUAGUUCUUACUAAAUGACUGUUAUGGGAGAGUAAAUAUCAACAGGGACCCAAACCACAAAAACUUCAUUCAAUCCAUUGAAACCGGCAACUUCGACCAGCAACAUCCAUGAAUUCAACACUCUUGAGAGAGAUAGAGAUGGGUGGGGACAAAAAUAAAAAAAUGAAAGAGAGAGACACAGAUAAUGGGAAAGGAAAAAUGCGUGUACAAAAGUUAAAGAAAGUUUGCAAAUGGAAGUAAGGACCCACGUAAAUAAUGAAAGAGGAAAAAUGAUGAAAUGUAAAAGUAGUAUUGGAAUCGCAAUGCU